rnacentral:rRNA from 1 species
UACAGAGGUCUCAACCGUUGUUCGGAUUCAUUGGGCGUAAAGGGUGCGUAGGCGGUCGCGUAAGUCAGGUGUGAAAUCCCGGGGCUCAACCCCGGAACUGCACUUGAUACUGCGUGGCUAGGGUACUGGAGAGGAGACUGGAAUUUACGGUGUAGCAGUGAAAUGCGUAGAUAUCGUAAGGAAGACCAGUGGCGAAGGCGGGUCUCUGGACAGUUCCUGACGCUGAGGCACGAAGGUCAGGGGAGCAAACGGG